rnacentral:rRNA from 1 species
UCGAGAUAGAAACAUAUUGAGCGAUUCAGAGAACUCACGAAGUGAGCGGUGGCAGUUGCCAUCACGAAAUGACCAUCUCGACUGUCGCCUCGUCCCUUCCUUGGAGAGAGGGGGGGGGGGGGGGGGAGAUGAAACAUAAACUGGUGCAGCUUCGUGCUAAGGGAAAAUCGAAAGGCACGGGCCCUACGUCAGGCUCCGUGGCAUGGCGAGCUGUCGCGCUCCAUGCAAAUGGACAUGACUCUCGGCAAUGGAUAUCUCGACUCUUACAUCAAUGAAGAGCGUAAUGAAAUGCGAUAUGUGAUGUGAAUUAUAGAAUCCCACGAACCAUCGAGUCUUUGAACUCAAGUUAUGCUCGAGGCCAGCCGGCAAAGGGCACGUCCGCCUGGGCAUUAAGUGUCACGUCGCUCUGUGCUAACUCCGUCCCCCUGAUGGGUGAGUGUCGGUCGAGGCUCGGAUGUGUAGGGUGGCUCAUCGUGCCCAUCAGUACGGUGGACUGAAGAGCCAGUCAUCGUCUCGCUGGCUAUGGACAAUAAGGGGUGGGUGAAAGCUAUGAGCAUAGCCUAUAUUAUCUCAUGUUGAGCUUGAGAGAACGAUGGUACCUUCGAAGAGAUCCCUACACAUGUGCCGAUUUACAUGCUACGGCUUGGAAU